ACUUAAGAACUAUGACCUUGUUUCCUUUUGAAAAUGAAGGUGAUUUUAUGAGGUACAUUGUUCAAGUUUGAGAAGAGGGAAGUACUGAUAAAAUUAAACCCAAAGGUCACAGACUUUAAAAAGAAUAACCAAAUCUAAUUUGUGAGAAAUCAUGUCUUCAAGGAAGUAGGAGAUAACAUUGAUGGCAGUAUUGGAGGAGUAAAAGUCAGUUCAUCAAAUCUGAAGAAAACGUAUUUUAAGAUAAGAGAUUGCUGAGCCAGGUUGCAUUUCCAGCAGAGUGGACACAGCCUUGCUCGCAUUUGUUAUUUCCUAAUGACUGCCAUUCUGACUGGGGUAAGGGGGCAUCUCAGGGUAGUUUUAUUUUGCAUUUCUCUGAUGCUGUUGAUUAGUGUCAGUGGCUAAUUUGCUGAAGGUUCUUUGAGUGGUUUUACAAAAUAGAUAAAGAAUAAAAUCCAGAAUGACCUUUGCAUGGUUAAACUGAUGCUUUUCUCUGAGCACACACUAAAUUGGCUUUACUAAAAUCUAAAACUAGGGAGCAGACAUUAAAACAAGCUUGGUGGGGUCUGGCACUGUAGCUCAGUUAGAGAGCUUUUGCCUGGUAUGCAGGGAGAUUUGUAGUCAAUCCCCAUCACCCCAUAAACCAUGGGUUAUGGCACACGCCUUUCAUCCCAUUAGCACUCAAGAAUUUGAGGCAGUAGGAUCAGAGGUUCAGUUCCAUCACAGAAAGAGAGAGAGAGAGAGAGAGAGAGAGAGAGAGAGAGAGAGAGAAGCUUCAACUUGUAGAACUAUAGUUGAGAUGUUCCAUAAUGAUUCUGUGCAGAAUCCUUUCAUUUGCCUUGUCGUGCUUUAAGAGUAAUGUAAGCAUUGCAGUCUUCUAGAGAUAUUUAGGGUACAUAAAGAACAUGUACUUUAAAUUGUGGUUCUGCUGGGAAUGGAACUCAGGGCCUGACACAUGCUCAGCAUGUAAGUACCCUACCAUUGGGCAUUUGUCCCCUUAAUUAUCUGAUUUUCAUCCUUAUUUGUGAUUGGUUAUUUUAUUUUGAGACAAGGUCUUGCUAUAUAGCCACAUAUGACCUCAAAUGCAUGAUGCUCUUGCCUUAGCCUCCUGAAAACUGGUCUCGUUGCCAGCUGUGCAACUUUGAAGAACCCCUCGGAGCCUAAAGGGCUCCUGCUCAUGCCCCGGCAGCCUCAGAAGUAGCUGUGAUCUGGGGGUGGGGAAACCUUUUUUUAAAAACACAGGUUCUUUCUAUGUACCCCCCAACUGUUCUAGAAAUCACUGUGUAGGCAGGGCUGGCCUCAAACUUACAAUCCUCCUGGUAAACUUUCAAGUACUGGGACUGAUUUGGGGCCAUCAGAGCUAGUUAGUCAGCAGCUAAAUUUAGAUUGGGUGUGUGUGUGUAUACUGUUCUAGUUUUCUUUUUUUUUUUAUUCAAAGAAUUCUGCCUUUAAAGAGGAGACUUACUGGGUACAUUGUGCGAGCUGUCAGAUAGAUAAUCGACAUUUAUCAAGGCUAGGUUGGUGACUCAUGCUUAUAGUCCUAGUGCUUGGGAGACUGGAGCAGGAUGAUUUCUAUAAAUUCUAGGUUACUCUGGGCUAUCCCAGGCUAGUAUCAGCUACUGCAUGAGAUCCCAUCCCAGUGUAAAAAAAGGAAGAAGAAGGAAGGAGGAGGAGGAAGCAGCAGCAGAACCAAAGCAGUAAAACCAAAACCAUCAGGAAUGAAAGAGAUCCUUCCCUGUGCAUGGGUGACAGGGAGUUAACUAUGGUUCAUUAGUCAUUUAACAGUUUGUGGUGCUUCUCAGAGAGGCCACUCCACUCCUUCAGCAAGGCGCGUAGUUCAUUAUGUUGAAGAUCAUGGGUGUCAGCCAGCAGGAUAUUUAAACCAGAACCAGGAGAAUGAGGUGGCCCUUUCUCGUUUCUUGUAUUCUAACUGUGUAUUGUGCCUCGAGCCGAUAGGCGUGUGCCACAACAUUGGCAUUUUCACCUCUGACUUAAAUGUAGUAUGAACACCUUACCCAAGAGAUUGUUCUGCUCCCUUAAAGUAUCAUUCUUGACUGGGCAGGUGACACUCAGGAAGUAGAAACAAAUGGAGCCUGUGAGUUCCAGGCCAGCCAGGGGUACAUAGUGAGACUCUAUCCCUAAAAUAAAUAAGAUAAUUGUUUAAUUAAGCAAACAGCUUUCCAAAAACAACAAGCAACACACAAACACACACACACACACACACACACACACACACACACACUCCCAGAAGUCAGAAACAUCUGCACGGUGCAGGUUUCUGUCAGCAGGUGGCAGUCUUGUCCUGCGGUAGAUGCUGCUGUCCAGUGUAGCUGCACUCCAUGUGUGCUGCUAGAGAUUGAACCAGACACUUGCUAAUGAGGCAAGAGCUGCGUGCUGAGCUCCUCUCUGACCCUGUGUUUGUACUUUAGUCUUUCUCUUAGUAUAUAUUCAUUGUCUUUAGGUCAUGUACUCCUUUUUUAAGUCGGGAUUUCACGGAUUUCACUAUGUAACCUGGCCUUGUACUCACAGACAUCUGCCUGCUUCUGCCUCCUGGGUGCUGGGGCUAAAGGUGUGAGCCGCCAUGGCUGGCAGGUCAUGUCCUCUUAUUUCAGCCCUCAGAGUUACUUUGACCACUAAGCUGUGUGACAACAGUUAUGACAGACUUCAUUGUCUCUCUGUCAUUUUGUGUACAUGCUGCCUGCCUUGUCUCCCUGUUUUAAUCUACUAGAAUAAGAAGGUACAAAUUGUCUUGCAGUUAAUGAGGAGUUGCUUAAUCUGUUUGGUAAGUUCCUUCUUCAAGAAGGAAGGAGAUAGUGUGGCCUGAAAAGUUCCCUGUACUCCUGUCUGUCUCCUCUGCCAUGUCACACACCACAGCACCUCAUUUAUGUUGCCCUCCAUGCCCUUCUGCUUGGGGAUUUCUGUUGGAGACAGCAUGAAAAAGAACCCCACAGUCAAAGCCAGCUGUGGUAAUAUGCCCACCUGUAGUUCAGGCUGCUUGAGAGUCAAAGACCCAGGAUCUCAUGAACCAGUGCAUUUGAGAACACAAUAAAUGCCAAAAUAAUAAUAGAAUCAUAUUUUUAAAAAUGUGUAUGAGUAUUAUUUAUGCAUAUGAGUGUUUUGCCAAAACACUGUGUGCCUGGUGCCUAGGGAGGUAAGAAGAGUAUCAGAUCCCUUGAAACUGGAGUUCUAGAUGCUUAUAAGCUGCUGUGUGAGGCGGGGAACAGAACCCAGGACCUCUGCUACAGCAGCCGGUACUCUGCAGCACUGGGCCAGUGUUCCAGCCUUCAAAUCACCAUAUUCUUAUAUGCAGCUUCCCCGGGAGCAGCGAUCUGUUAGUACAUCUGCCAAGGUCUGUCUUGUCAAACUGUUAGAGUGCUAAAAGAACAGAUGAGUCACUAGAUGGAUUCUUGGAGAAGCAGGUAGGAGCCAGCUGAGAACUUCUAAGCCUUGUAGCAUGCUGAAAUGUAAAACUGAAACUUCCUGACAUUAGUUAGCGUUAGGGAGGAAAAAAAAAAAAGACUAGUGUCAUGAAUGGUAUAGGGCAUGCCACAACCCCAGCACUUGGGAGGUUAAGGAAGGAGGAGGGUAAAUUCAAGGCCUGUGGCUACAUAGUGAAACCCUGUAUUUAAAAAGAAAAAAAAGAGAGAGUGAAAAGAAGCUGGAAAGACAAGGGAGCCUACAAUGCACUGGAACUAGAGAACUCUAGAAGGAGAAGCUAAAUCGCUUUGAAUUGAUAGCAUGCACUCGGGACCAAGUACAUGCUGCAUUAUCCGCCUAACUCGUAAAACAUCUAGCUCUAAUUAGUAGCACAACUGUCUUUAGCUAAAGCUGAGUCUGGCUGCCUGAAACUUAGGUAAUUGAUGUUUCCAGGUAGUUAGCGACAUCAUCACUACAGAAAAUAAUGAAAGAAAAUCACCUGUGAUCCUGUCCUUCAUCUCUGAUCACUUGCUGAUACUUGAUUUGCUUGUAUCGGCUAUUACAGCAUUCAAUUUAGCUUAUAAUUAGUGUGUUUAAGGCUUUAGACUCUGAAAGUGCAAUUAAUCAUUUUUUUUAUCUUCUUGUGCUUUUUUUAAUUUUUGAUUUAUUUUUCUUGUGAGUCUCACUAUGUUGCCCAAGCUAGCCUGUAAAUUCAAUGAUCCUUCUGUCUCGGCCUCCCAUUGCAGGCUUGAAUUGUCUUUGUGUGAGGAGUCUUCCCAAGGCCGCCUACGUAAUAGCUAAAGCAUGUGCUUUUCCACGGAGCAGUGCCCUAACCAGUUAGCUGUGCUUGUUAUGUGCUGUUGACACUGUGAGCUGUGUGGCGGGUUAUCUUUCUGUGUGUUCUCCAUGUAGGUGUAUCAGAUAGGAUGCACCGCAGUAUGUUUCUCGUGAGGACCACCAGCCCACAAAUAACAACUCGGAGGCUUAUUCUUAAUUAUGUAAGCUCGGCCUUAGCUUAGGCUUGUAUCACUUGCUCUGAUAACUUUAAUUAGUCCGUAUUUUUAUUACUCUACAUUCUACCAUAUGGCUUUUACCUCUCUCCCAUUCUGUUUCCAGCUCGCUCUUCAUCCCCAUUGUCCUGUGUGCCUGUAUUAUCUUCCUCUCUCUGCCCGGAUGGUCUGCCUGUCUCUCCUGCCUAGCUAUUGGCCAUGCAGCUUUUUAUUGUACCAAUCACAGCAGUGCCUCUUCACAGUGUACAAAUGUCUCACGACAAUGCACCAAUAGGAAAAGCUUACCUUCCCGUUGUUGCUAAUAUGCCCUAUACAAAGUAGCAAUCUGUAGCAGUAGUGUUUCCGCAGAGUACAAACUGUGUGGUGGAAAGUCCAAGACAGAAACAUUUUCACCUUGUUCCGUUUCCGGCACAGAUAUUCAGCUGCAAUACGAUGGAGACAAUAGUUUGAAAGAUGCAGCUCUUGAGAUACCAGGACAUGGUACACUUAGCAGGAAGCAUAGAACGUCUUUUAACUAAGAGAAAGGUGUAGCCAGUUAAAGACCAUGUUUGAGUUUCUCAAAGCAAGUUUGAAAACUCAAGCUUCUCAGUUGAGGUUUGGGGGGACGGUUUUAGUAUCUCUUGAUAUGGAACCAUAGACUCUCCUCAUCAUGCAGACUUUAACCCACCAACCAGUUUACCAAGUAGGCAAAGCUGGCUGGCCACCAAGUCCCCGAAAUUACAGGUAUGGGUCACCACACCCAGCCUUUUGACAUGGGAGUUGUAGAGACUGAACUCAGGUUCUUGUAUUUUCAGGGCUGACCAAGCCCUAAGAAACUUCAUAGUGGCAAACUAUGAAAUAAUUUUGAUUCAGUUAAAUAAUUGACAUGCUAAAAAGCUCUGAGUCAUUACUCAAACACACAAAUGGAUUUAACUUUCUCCUUUGAUAACGAUUACCAUUCUUGAUAAUAAGAUAAAUAUAAAUUACAGUCUCAGAAUGGAAAAAACCUGGAAGAUAGUUAAGUCCUGUUCAGCGUAGAAACCUCUGCCCUUUGGCAUCUGAAUUCCUCGUCUAGUGCUUGCCCUUAGGUAUGGCUGGUUUCGGCCAGGCCAGUCCCAGUGCUGAGAUGAAAGUCCACUCCACUGCACAAGAGCAAUCUCUGUGACUUCUGGCUUCUCUCUAGCCCUUCUCAGAAAACGGUGGGAAAACUAUGGGAGGAAAAAUUGGGUUUGUGUUGCUUGUUUUGUGGUUCUGAGGCUCAAACUUGGGGCUUCAUGAAUGCUAGGCCAAUGAAUUAUGUCCGCAGCCCCCAAAAUUGUUCUUUUGUUUUUAAUUAAAAUUUACAAUAAUACAUUUUUGAUCACUUCUCUCCACCAACGCUUCUCAAAUCCUCUCUACUUCCCUGCCACUCAGUUCUGUUCUUGUUCAUCAUUCAUAGUCUCUCUCUGUCUCUCUUUCCCUUUCUAUCUCUAAACAAAAAACAAGACAACCCGG